rnacentral:rRNA from 1 species
UGUUUCGGCUAGGGGGCCAUCCCGGCUUACCAACCCGAUGCAAACUGCGAAUACCGGAGAAUGUUAUCACGGGAGACACACGGCGGGUGCUAACGUCCGUCGUGAAGAGGGAAACAACCCAGACCGCCAGCUAAGGUCCCAAAGUCAUGGUUAAGUGGGAAACGAUGUGGGAAGGCCCAGACAGCCAGGAUGUUGGCUUAGAAGCAGCCAUCAUUUAAAGAAAGCGUAAUAGCUCACUGGUCGAGUCGGCCUGCGCGGAAGAUGUAACGGGGCUAAACCAUGCACCGAAGCUGCGGCAGCGAACGUAUCACUUAAAGCGAUUCAGCGGGUUACGAUUGACGGAGCGAAGCGACGUCAAAGCGUAUACAAAGUCGAGUCGGUUUAAGGAUACGUUCGUUGGGUAGGGGAGCGUUCUGUAAGCCUGUGAAGGUGGCCUGUGAGGGUUGCUGGAGGUAUCAGAAGUGCGAAUGCUGACAUAAGUAACGAUAAAGCGGGUGAAAAGCCCGCUCGCCGGAAGACCAAGGGUUCCUGUCCAACGUUAAUCGGGGCAGGGUGAGUCGACCCCUAAGGCGAGGCCGAAAGGCGUAGUCGAUGGGAAACGGGUUAAUAUUCCCGUACUUGGUGUUACUGCGAAGGGGGGACGGAGA